UACGUAGGGUGCGAGCGUUAAUCGGAAUUACUGGGCGUAAAGUGUGCGCAGGCGGCGCCGCAAGUCGAGUGUGAAAGCCCCGGGCUUAACUUGGGAAUUGCGCUUCGAAACUAUGGUGCUGGAGUGUGGCAGAGGAAGGUGGAAUUCCACGUGUAGCGGUGAAAUGCGUAGAGAUGUGGAGGAACACCGAUGGCGAAGGCAGCCUCUGGCCAACACUGACGCUCAUGCACGAAGCGU
rnacentral:rRNA from 1 species